CAAAUAUAUCGUCCUAUUACUGCAAAUACCAACUAAGUGACUUUUUGACGAAAUGCCUUUUCUUAAACCAAUAGAAAUAGUUUUUCAUUAUCUACAGACUGGUAAAACCCCUGUUUUGAUACGAUCCCGCGUUCAUAAAAUAGCUAAUGCGUAAAGUAACAUAUUGGUAAUUUUGUGUCACUCUAAACAGGCAAAAUCUAAUAUGUGUAUGAUAAUACGCUAAUUCAUAUUUUCACCUCCAGGUAAAAACUACUACCGAUAUAUAGUGUUUUUUUGCAUUACCAUUUUAUUGAAUAUGAGCCAAUUUAUUCUCAGAAAAUACUUUGUAUAUUUACUUAUUUGUUUUUUGCAUAUAUUCAUAUCUACUAAGCUAUAUUUUUUACGACAGGUAAAAUAUAUCAAACAUCUUUAGCACGUUUUUCUAGAACUUCUUUGAGUUCAUUAACGACAAUUUCUUACUGCCAUAAUAUUGUACGGCGCCUUAGUUGGUUUUGCCUGUAUAGCUUUACUCUGACAUAAACACAAAAUUCUACAGGAAGAACUAAUUAAGUGCGCUUACGAGCUUUGCGCCGUAGCUAACUUCGCUCAGUUGCUGCUUACGCGCCGAUUUGACGGUUGGUAAUUAUUGUGGUGUUAGAUCGAUAAACAGUUUAAAACCCUAUUUAAUGACGGUGUGUUAUAAAAAUGAAUUCAAGAAGCAGAAGACUCGUUAGACUGGCAAUGGGAAACAAGGAUGCAGACCAUGAAGAUCAGCUGGAAUCGGAACAUAAUCAGGCCUCCGACCUUAACGAAUCUCGGGAACUUAUCGCCGAGGAGAUGAAUCAAAUAAUAAGUAACUUUUUUAUUGAUGACAAUGCAGCAGAGUCGGAUCAAGAGCAAUCCCAGAUUAUGAUACCACUACCGAAUCUCAGAGCAAAGCGAGUCUCCGAAACAUCUUCAGACUCUGAUUCGUUAUUCGGUGGCCGUGAUUUUUCAGAUGACGACCCUACUUACCACCCAGAGUAAGAACAAAAGUCUCUUAAUAGCUGCAGCAGGAGCAAUAAUGACGAUUUAACUACUUUGCAGGACUUUAUCUCCUUUGACUUACAAGCAAUAUUGCAAAUACCUUGCUCAAAAGUUGGUUUGUUGUAUUAUGUCAGAAAACUGACCGUACACAAUUUGACUAUAUACGAAUGUGCUUUACCCAAUAAUGCCUUUUGUUUUAAUUGGUCCGAGAUUUAUGGCAAAAAAGAAAGCGCAGAGAUUGGUACAAUUUUAUACCAUUAUCUGUCGAAGCGUAUUUCUACUAGAGUGACAAGUGUGUCAUUAUUUUCUGAUACAUGCAGUGGUCAAAAUUGAAACCAGAACGUUGCAGCUGUUAUACUCUGGUUUGUUAACAAAAUAGAUCAUCUGCAAGUCAUUGAACAGAACUUUCUGGAGUCUAGGCAUUCGUACAUGGAAACAUACUCAAUGCAUAGCAGCAUCGAAAGUGCAAAAAAGAACAAAGAUAUAUUUUCUAUGACGGACUGGGCAAACAUUUUUAAAAGUGCUAGGUCGAAAUGAGUUUAUAGGGCUGGUAAUAAAAAGAUGAACAAAGAACCUUAAUUUUAUGACCUGAAACAGCUAGCUGAAGCUUUGUUGAAAAAUAAAACCAAAGACUGCAGUGGCGACAAAGUUCUUUGGCUUAAAAUUAAGAAGAUGAAAUUCCUGAAGGGUGAUCUAAAAAUAUACUUCAACUAUGAUGUUUCCGACGUGUAUUUAAACUUUGAUACCAGCGAAGCACCAAAAUCUCGCAAAACAUCGACACCUCAAUCCGGCCCUUGAUACAGUUCCAGGAAAGGGAAGCAACUUGAUAAGUCGAACCAUUGCGCCAGUUAUACGACGAGCCAUUAGCAAUUUCAGCAGCUAAGAAGAAGGAUUUGGUUGGUCUUUGCGACAAAGGGGUCAUUCCCGAGGAGUACCAUGGAUGGUUUCGAUCACUUAAUUGUGAUACUAAUGUCAUAGAUCGUGUGCCAGACGUUGCAGCAGGCGAAUCUAGUAGUGAAGAAGAAGAUAAUUAAUGUUGUGUAGGCUUAUUCUUAGUAAAUUCAUAACUCACUAA